rnacentral:rRNA from 1 species
UACAGAGGUCUCAAGCGUUGUUCGGAUUAAUUGGGCGUAAAGGGUGCGUAGGCGGCGCGGUAAGUCGGGUGUGAAAUCUCGGGGCUUAACUCCGAAACUGCAUUCGAUACUGCCGUGCUUGAGGACUGGAGAGGAGACUGGAAUUUACGGUGUAGCGGUGAAAUGCGUAGAUAUCGUAAGGAAGACCAGUGGCGAAGGCGGGUCUCUGGACAGUUCCUGACGCUGAGGCACGAAGGCCAGGGGAGCAAACGGG